UACGUAGGCAGCAAGCGUUGUUCGGAAUUACUGGGCGUAAAGCGUGCGCAGGCGGCCUCUUAAGUCAGAUGUGAAAUCCCCGGGCUUAACCUGGGAACUGCGUUUGAAACUGGGAGGCUAGAGUGUGGAAGAGGGGGGUGGAAUUCCAGGUGUAGCAGUGAAAUGCGUAGAGAUCUGGAGGAACACCGAUGGCGAAGGCAGCCCCCUGGGCUGACACUGACGCUCAUGCACGAAAGCGUGGGGAGCAAACAGG
rnacentral:rRNA from 1 species